GCCCUCUUGGGGGUUCCGGGGGCAUGGUCCCCCGGCCGAAUUUUUUUGUACCCUUUACAUUGGAAUGCAUGAAUCUGGUGCACUUUGAGAGGAGAAUAUGUACUUAAAUCCUAUUCAAACAGUCCUGUGUAUUACUGUAGAUGGGAUUAUUGGUGUUGUAACUUUGCCUUUUGUGUCUUCAUUUACAGAUUUUUAUAUUUUUGUAUAGUAAUAUUUAAACAAAAAAUGCCACAACGCAAAUAUAAUUUGCACAAUUUAUUUACAGAUUUUUGCCUAAUGCUUAAACACUAAACAUGGUUGCUAUGCCCAAAGCAUAACUGUUUUUUUACAUAACACUUUGUUCAAAAAUGUCCUUAGGUUUUUUCCCUGCAUUUAUGCUAAUGACCACAUGCUUACAGGCGAUUAGCAUAAAUC